AACUCCCUGAUUUUUAAAUACAGCUCAGAAUGAGUUGCUGAGUUCAUCCACUGCCCAGCAUGCACAGACCCUGAGUCAUAGUCAAAGGGGAGGUUGCUGUAAACAGCAGAAGAAACAUUCCUACAGACAGAGAACAAAGGGAAACCUUGGUUCCUAACCAGAUAACAGUUAGAAGUGAGGGGUGCAGUCCUUGAGGACAGGGGUUUGUCUGGCCUGUGUUGGUGCCUCCGAGGGGCAGCAGCCUGGGCAGGUUUAUAUUUAAAUGUUGCAGAUUUGGCAGCAUCUGCUUGUUCCCCACAGGAAGAAAGAAUCUGGAAGGACUGAAGGUUGCAAAGGAGUUGGAGAGGCAGAUGAGAAAGCACUGAAAAUCCAAAGAGAUGUACCCAUUUUCCCACGUAAUGAAUGCAUACUCUCGCUCCCUUUUAUGCUCACAAACGUCCUGGUUUGGAUGCAAAGUUACGAGGUCAGCCUAAGAUGGGUCUUAUGAAAAGCACUUGAGGCCAGCAGCGGAGGUCUCCCCUCUUUCUUUCUCAUUUCCUCGCUGUGGCAUUAUUGAGCCAUACUUGCCACGGUGAUCCUAAUGCUGAUGUUUGUGCAGUUUCUGCUCUGACAGGUAAAGAGCUCAGAAGCCAUCAUUCCCCUCCUGUGACAAGAUAAAGCCAGACAAACUGAAAAUCAAAGUAUUUCCAUGCACCCCUCUGAGAACUACAGUCACAGGGCAACCCUUGCCCCCAAAUCUGGAGAGAGUCGGUCACAGCCAGGAAGAGAAAGACAGCUGGAACAGAAGCUGCGAGGGGCCAAGUUGGCAGGAUUAUUUCAACCAGCCCUGAGGACCCCUCUGUCCUCCUUGCCUCCUUGAGAAUGUCCCCUCUGCUCCCCAGAAGGUUCCAGAACUCAUGGCACAAUAUAUCUUCACGUGCUUUUAUUAAUCCCUGGGCCUCGGGAUUGGCAUGAGAUUUGUUAGAACAAAUUUAAAGCAUUGCACAAUUUCACUGCAACUUGGAAGCGAUUCCUGAGGGAAUUUUUUGACUUGAACAUUUAAUAAAAUAACCCGAUGGUCAUUAAUCUACUCAGCCAGUUGGUGGCGAAUUGUAUUCACACCUGCAGUGACGUGGACUCCAGACUCGAUUCAAUUAUAAAUCUCUGUGACCUCAAUUCACCCACAAAUGGCAUGGAAAGUCAUGAAAACGGUUCAGAUCUACUCUUUGGAAUCACAGUGAUGUUUACAAUUCCACAAAAUCAGUGAACAAUUCCUGAUGUCGCUGUCUGACAAGGUGGGAGAGGAGCUGCAUGAAAACCGAAGUCCCACGUCAUUCAGUCAACAGGGAAAUGCUUUCCUGCCUCUAAUUUUCAUUUAUUUUAAAAAUCAACAUAUAACCACUGUGAAUGGACU